AUGCAUCUAUUUGACAGACCUGGAGCAGUUACUGUCUGCUGCUAAGGUUUUUAUUGCAGAUGCAAGAAAAAGUUGUCCUUACCCUUCUGUCUAAUUGUGGCAGCUGUGAUUGAAUGGGGGAAUAUAGGG
ensembl:snoRNA